rnacentral:rRNA from 1 species
GAUGAACGCUGGCGGCGUGCCUAAUACAUGCAAGUCGAGCGAAUGGAUUAAGAGCUUGCUCUUAUGAAGUUAGCGGCGGACGGGUGAGUAACACGUGGGUAACCUGCCCAUAAGACAGGGAUAACUCCGGGAAACCGGGGCUAAUACCGGAUAACAUUUUGAACCGCAUGGUUCGAAAUUGAAAGGCGGCUUCGGCUGUCACUUAUGGAUGGACCCGCGUCGCAUUAGCUAGUUGGUGAGGUAACGGCUCACCAAGGCAACGAUGCGUAGCCGACCUGAGAGGGUGAUCGGCCACACUGGGACUGAGACACGGCCCAGACUCCUACGGGAGGCAGCAGUAGGGAAUCUUCCGCAAUGGACGAAAGUCUGACGGAGCAACGCCGCGUGAGUGAUGAAGGCUUUCGGGUCGUAAAACUCUGUUGUUAGGGGAGAACAAGUGCUAGUUGAAUAAGCUGGCACCUUGACGGUACCUAACCAGAAAGCCACGGCUAACUACGUGCCAGCAGCCGCGGUAA